UACGGAGGGUGCAAGCGUUAUCCGGAUUCACUGGGUUUAAAGGGUGCGUAGGUGGGCAAGUAAGUCAGUGGUGAAAUCUCCGGGCUUAACCCGGAAACUGCCAUUGAUACUAUUUGUCUUGAAUACUGUGGAGGUCAGCGGAAUAUGUCAUGUAGCGGUGAAAUACGUAGAGAUUGGGAAGAACACCAGUGGCGAAGGCGGCUAUCUGGACGGUUUCUGACACUAAGACGCGAAAGCGUGGGGAGCAAACAGG
rnacentral:rRNA from 1 species